AUCAACUGUAAGCUCAUUUGAGCAGGGUCCUCUUCAACCUAUUGUUCCUGUACCUUUUCUUGUAAUUGUCCUAUUUAUAGUUAAAUCCCCCCUCUCAUAAAUUUUUAAAGUGCUACAGAAUCUGUUGGCCCUAUAUAAAUGGCAAUAAUAAUGUCUCCUAACAGUGCAACCCCUGGCCUCCAUUUGCUCUAUGAAGGCAGACAUCUUUAAAUCCUCUUUGGUGAAAGCACAGCUUAUCUGAUUUUAAGAAAUAAUAAUAAUGAAGAGCUAGU